rnacentral:rRNA from 1 species
AGUGAACGCUGGCGGUAGGCCUAACACAUGCAAGUCGAACGGCAGCACAGUAAGAGCUUGCUCUUACGGGUGGCGAGUGGCGGACGGGUGAGGAAUACAUCGGAAUCUACUUUUUCGUGGGGGAUAACGUAGGGAAACUUACGCUAAUACCGCAUACGACCUACGGGUGAAAGCAGGGGAUCUUCGGACCUUGCGCGAUUGAAUGAGCCGAUGUCGGAUUAGCUAGUUGGCGGGGUAAAGGCCCACCAAGGCGACGAUCCGUAGCUGGUCUGAGAGGAUGAUCAGCCACAUUGGAACUGAGACACGGUCCAGACUCCUACGGGAGGCAGCAGUGGGGAAUAUUGGACAAUGGGCGAAAGCCUGAUCCAGCCAUACCGCGUGGGUGAAGAAGGCCUUCGGUUUGUAAAGCCCUUUUGUUGGGAAGAAAAAGCAGCAGGUUAAUACCCCGCUGUUCUGACGGUACCCAAAGAAUAAGCACCGGCUAACUUCGUG